AAUCAGCCCUCUUGUUUGGUUGUUUUUUUUUUCUUUAGACUCUUUAAGAAAAUUACUAUUUCUUGAAUUUCUUUGUUUUUUUCUUAUAUUUCUUUAAGAGAUUUUCUUGUUUCCUAUUUAAGGGUCUCGAACAUCUUCAUGAAGUAGAUUUUUAGGGCUGUCUCUUCUUCUUCCUCUGUGUUGUGCUUUCCAGAUCUUGCUGGUGUGGAGUCCCUAGAUUCUGGUGGUGACAUAUUGAUCUUUCUGUUGAGUGUGCUGUUAUUCUUCCUUCUUCCCAUCUCUUCUUCUGGUGUGAGUUUUAACUAUGCUGUGAUAAUGUUUUUCAAUGCCUAUAACUUCCAGAUGGGCAUGUAAGCUGUUUCCAUAUACUGGCUUUUUUGAAUUGAGAAGCAAAGAAAGAGGAUGAGCAGAUAUCUCUGGCAUAGAGCACAGAGUUCUUUAGAAAUACCACAGAAUCAUUGGUUGAAAGAAGAGUCGCUUGAUCUAUUGGUACAAAGGAGAUAAUGAAUCACUAGUGCUUUAAAGCUAUGUAGAUAUGGAUAAGUUUAGGCCUCACUCCCCCUUAAAGAAACUUCUUUUUGCAACAAAUGGAGAACGUUACAGGAAGGUACAGCCAAUCAAAAACAAACUUCUGAUGGGUACAUCUAUAAAACAACCCAGCACCUAAGGUUCAAGAAACAAUGCAGAAUCAGUUCUUGAAACAGCUGCAAGAAUCAGAGCACCAACGAGUUUGCGGUGAGACUGUUUCAGAAGCUACACCCAUAGAGUCUCACCAAUAUUACCCCCUAAAUACGAGGUGAACAAGGACAAAAAAUAUACACGCCAAAGUGGUUGGGGGAGAUCCCAUGAGGCUUCAAAUCUACAUAAGCAACUACAGGAUACUAAGAAAAGCCAAGAGUGAGAGAAAUAAUCUUCUCAGGAGAGAGCACACCCAUCACAGCCCUUAAUGCAUAUUUAUGAGGAGCAUAAUAGAAAUGGAGUCAUAUUGAGGAAUGUACAAAACAAUUAGUGAAAAAAGAGACCAUGCAUUUGAACAAAAGCAAGGAAGGGUAUAUAUCAGGUUUGAAGAGCAUAAUAGGAAGGGAGAAAGCUGUAAUUUUAUUAUAAUAUCAAACAUAAAAGAAAAAUGUAAAGAAGGUGAUGUUCUAUAGGGAAGUAAAGCAUUUCAACCAUUGGGGAAGCUUACUUAGCUUAGGAAACAAACCCAAGUAAAGUUUUAGGAAGUCCUGAAAAUCCACAGCCAGAUGCUCUAAGCUCCAUCCUCUCCAGCAUAUAUGAACUGUAAAUACUUUUAAGUGACUUUCAAAUACCUGCGAGAAGCCAGCCUUCUCAGAAGAACCAGAGACCCAUCUUUCUAGAACAGACUCAGACAACCUGGGCUGUCUGUACAGGACACUGUCCAACCAGUUUAACUGUCUGUAGGUUGUGCAGUAUGCUUCCUGUUUCCAGGUGGGCCCUCACACUUGCUGAGGUAGACUUUGUUUUUGCAUCAUUUCUGCUGCUGUAGGUAUCCUGUACUCCAUAUUCCUGCAAGUAACCCCAAUAAAACUUUUGGAAUCAAUAAGUUGGACUUUGGUGGUAUUUAUAAUCAGAACUAUUGUUGAUUCUUUCCUGGGAUGCAUAGAUGCUGUCCAUUGUUAUAUUUGCUGUCACAAAUCAUGGCAUGAAUUAAAAUUCCCUCAAGAUCAGCAGUGGAUAUAACCAUUUAUUUAUUUAUUUUAUAUGUUCAUAUAUAACAUAGACAAAAAUUUGAAACUACUGUUUUUAGCUUUAUGAAUCUAUUCAUCUUUAUAUGUUCAAUAAUUUUCCUUUUGUGACUUGAUCAAAUUACAAUUCUUUUGCUUAUUUUAUUUGAUCAUAUUUGUCUUCUUUAUUUUUCAUUACCUAACUCUUUUUAAUUUUAUUUUUAUUAUAAAGAAAAUUAUUUUACAUGUCAAUUCCAGGUCCCUCUCCAUUCCCUCUUCCCCUGCCCUGCCAACUAACACCC
ensembl:lncRNA